rnacentral:lncRNA from 1 species
UUAUGUGGGAGUCCCUGGAGGUUUUGAACUAUUACAGAUGGGUCCCUACACUUAGCACUAAAGACCCUGGGGUUUGUCAAGGGCUUACAAUGUGGUCCUUGGCGGCCGGCAGCUUCUCCGGCGAGAUUGCCGGCGAGCGGCAGCGCUAGAGGGCAAGGGGAUGGCUCGGGCGUGUCGAGGGGCUCACCGUGGUGAUCUGCGCUUAGGGGCUCGAGAAGGGAGG